UACAGAGGGUGCGAGCGUUAAUCGGAAUUACUGGGCGUAAAGCGUGCGUAGACGGUAGCGUAAGUCAGAUGUGAAAUCCCCGGGCUCAACCUGGGAACUGCGUUUGUGACUGUAUGACUAGAGUACGGUAGAGAGGGGUGGAAUUCCUGGUGUAGCAGUGAAAUGCGUAGAUAUCAGGAGGAACAUCGAUGGCGAAGGCAGCCCCUUGGACCUGUACUGACGCUCAUGCACGAAAGCGUGGGGAGCAAACAGG
rnacentral:rRNA from 1 species